GCAACCGUCUGUUUCAUCUGUAAAGACAAAAGAAUCAUCAGGUAAGCGAAUUUUGAGGUAAUAUAUGACUUUUAUCUUCGAGUGGUGGAAACAAUAUUUUACCAGUAAAAUUAUAUUGUUUUUAACACGAGAAGAUAAAAGUCAUGGGCCGAUUGUACGAUAGACUGGCGAUACUCAUGUAUGACAAUGAAAGGGAGACUUGGAGCAAGUCUAGUAGUGUGCGAAGGCCGGAUAGCGCUGUCCACCAGAUAGUGAG